AUUGAACGCUGGCGGCAUGCUUUACACAUGCAAGUCGAACGGUAACAGGCCGCAAGGUGCUGACGAGUGGCGAACGGGUGAGUAAUGCAUCGGAACGUGCCCAGUCGGGGGGGAUAACGCAGCGAAAGCUGUGCUAAUACCGCAUACGCUCUAUGGAUGAAAGCGGGGGACCGUAAGGCCGCGAGGGAUUGGAGCGGCCGAUGUCAGUUUAGGUAGUUGGUGGGGGAACGGCCAACCAAGCCAACGAUCUGUAGCUGGUCUGAGAGGACGGCCAGCCACACUGGGACUGGGACACGGCCCAGACUCCUACGGGAGGCAGCAGUGGGGAAUUUUGGACAAUGGGCGCAAGCCUGAUCCAGCAAUGCCGCGUGCAGGAAGAAGGCCUUCGGGUUGUAAACUGCUUUUGUACGGAACGAAACGGUCUGGGUUAAUACCCUGGGCUAAUGACGGUACCGUAAGAAUAAGCACCGGCUAACUACGUGCCAGCCGCCGCCGUAAAAC
rnacentral:rRNA from 1 species